UGUUUCGGCUAGGGGGUCAUCCCGACUUACCAACCCGAUGCAAACUACGAAUACCGAAGAAUGUUAUCACGGGAGACACACGGCGGGUGCUAACGUCCGUCGUGAAGAGGGAAACAACCCAGACCGCCAGCUAAGGUCCCAAAGUCAUGGUUAAGUGGGAAACGAUGUGGGAAGGCACAGACAGCCAGGAUGUUGGCUUAGAAGCAGCCAUCAUUUAAAGAAAGCGUAAUAGCUCACUGGUCGAGUCGGCCUGCGCGGAAGAUGUAACGGGGCUAAACCAUGCACCGAAGCUGCGGCAGCGACACGAUGUGUUGUUGGGUAGGGGAGCG
rnacentral:rRNA from 1 species